rnacentral:rRNA from 1 species
GAUGAACGCUGGCGGCGUGCCUAACACAUGCAAGUCGAACGGAGUCCAGCCUUUAAGACCUUCGGGUCAAAGAGGGGAAGACUGAGUGGCGGACGGGUGAGUAACACGUGGGCAACCUGGCUCAUAGAGGGGGAUAACAGAGAGAAAUUUCUGCUAAUACCGCAUAAGCACACACUGCCGCAUGGCAGAGGGUGAAAAGAGAAUCGCUAUGAGAUGGACCCGCGUCUGAUUAGCCAGUUGGCAGGGUAAGAGCCUACCAAAGCGACGAUCAGUAGCCGAUCUGAGAGGAUGAACGGCCACAUUGGGACUGAGACACGGCCCAAACUCCUACGGGAGGCAGCAGUGGGGGAUAUUGCACAAUGGAGGGAACCCUGAUGCAGCGACGCCGCGUGAGUGAAGAAGUAUUUCGGUAUGUAAAGCUCUAUCAGCAGGGAAGAUAAUGACAGUACCUGAAUAAGAAGCCCCGGCUAACUACGUG